UAAUACAUGCAAGUCGAGCGGAGUCUUACACUUUCUUCGGAAAGUGUUUGGCUUAGCGGCGGACGGGUGAGUAACACGUAGGUAACCUGCCCAUAAGACUGGGAUAACCCACGGAAACGUGAGCUAAUACCAGAUAGGCAUCUUCUUCGCAUGAAGGAGAUGAGAAAGACGGUUUCGGCUGUCACUUAUGGAUGGACCUGCGGCGCAUUAGCUAGUUGGUGAGGUAACGGCUCACCAAGGCGACGAUGCGUAGCCGACCUGAGAGGGUGAUCGGCCACACUGGGACUGAGACACGGCCCAGACUCCUACGGGAGGCAGCAGUAGGGAAUCUUCCGCAAUGGGCGAAAGCCUGACGGAGCAACGCCGCGUGAGUGAUGAAGGUUUUCGGAUCGUAAAGCUCUGUUGCCAAGGAAGAACGCUCAGGAGAGUAACUGCUCUUGAGGUGACGGUACUUGAGAAGAAAGCCCCGGCUAACUACGUGCCAGCAGCCGCGGUAAUACGUAGGGGGCAAGCGUUGUCCGGAAUUAUUGGGCGUAAAGCGCGCGCAGGCGGCGAUGUAAGUUGGGUGUUUAAACCUAGGGCUCAACCUUGGGUCGCAUCCAAAACUGCAUGGCUUGAGUGCAGCAGAGGAAAGUGGAAUUCCACGUGUAGCGGUGAAAUGCGUAGAGAUGUGGAGGAACACCAGUGGCGAAGGCGACUUUCUGGGCUGUAACUGACGCUGAGGCGCGAAAGCGUGGGGAGCAAAC
rnacentral:rRNA from 1 species